AUAAUAAUAAUAAUAAUAAUAAUGUAAUAAUAAUAAAAGUGUUCAUCGCAGUUGUUCCACAUAAUCCUCCAUAACUUGCUGUUUCCAAGUUUGUAAUCCUUUGAUGCUUAUUUGGCUACAAAAUGAAAGCCUUGUCUCCAGAUAAUGAAGGAAAGGAAGGUUGUCCUGGGCCAUUUGAAACCUAAGAAUAUUUGAUUCUUUCAUUGUUUACAGCUAGACUUGAAAAGGAUCAAAAAGAUUUUUGCAGGAUCAGCUUAGUGUAAAGGCUUCUUUCUGCCUUGUAGCACAGGCAGUGACCAUAAAGAAGGUAUUAUCUUUAGGAAUCAGUUACACAGCCAUUAAAGCAAACUAGAGAUUAUUUCAUACAACAGGAGCAGGGAGUGGAGAGCUUUUUCAAUAUGGAAAUAGCUUUGGAUGUAUAAACCAGAAAGCUUAAAUUUACCAAAAAAAACUAAGUUCUCUGUUUACUGAAAACUUCAGUUUUUUCAUACUCUUCUACACCUGUUCUGGAAAUCAACAGACACCCAGAUUGCCAUUAAUGACUGCACUUGAUUUCCUUCAGGAAGCCAUACCUAAUUAUCCAAAUGGAACUCUUAAGGCACAACGGAGUAAAAUAGAUUGGAAACAUUUUCAGCUGAGUUUCUCCAUUUGGAUUAACUCCAUUGGAAUGAAAUUUCCCUGCUCUUAGGACCUGAAGUGAGUGUUUUAACAUACAGAAAUGAAGAAGAAUUCCACCAAAAAGGCUUCUAACAAUCCUUACUAUAUUUUGUCGUUUUCAAAGGUGCAUCAGCACAAAGCAGCAGGAUAUACAAGCAGCUAAACCCAGAAUAUCCAACGCUAUUGAGAAAAGAGCAUUUGGAUCCCACAUGGAAGAACACAAGAGACAGUGGCUUAUUAGGAAUGAGAAUCCUGCAGCUAAGGGAAAUUGAUAUUGGCACUGAUACCUUCAAAAAUGCUACCAAGGGUGAAAAGGAGCCAACAACAGCACAGCUACAAGAAGGUGUAAUUAGAACUGGCUGCAAGGUGGAUAUGUAAAUUAUUUUUCAGAAGUUCUACUGACCCACUGGAUCACCUUGGAUCACCUUCACAGAGGUUAAUGUGACUCAUGCUGAACCCUUCAAUUUAUGUUCAUUCUUAUGGUUGGCAAGAAUAAAUCUUCUGGUUUGACCAAGAUGGCUAACAUGUAUAAAUCCAGGGAUGUACAUAACUAAUACAAGUUACCCACAAAUGAAAUCAGGUGCUGUACAAACACAACUAUCUAGCUGUGGCAGUUGUUGGAAAUUGGACAUUCAGAGCUUGAAGACACCUGCAGAGACUGUUCAAUGCAAACUUCUUUACACUGUGCUGGCAAUAAGGGUAUUUGGGGUAAUCUGUUUUUAAAAGUAAUCUCCACUGAGCAAGGUUCCAACACCACCUUGGGUAGUCUGCUUUUCUCUUCUUUUACUCAAAAAGAUUUCUCUCUAAAUGAUAUAAAAGUUAUUUCCUGCAAAUUGAGGUAAUUYGUUCUCAUGUUUCUUACAGUGGGAAAAAAACGGAAUAAAUGAACUAAAAAUGUGCUUACCCUUCAAAUGAGUAUAAGGACCAUCAA